ACUAUCUGGGAAUCUUGUUAAAAUGCAGAUUCUAAUUCAGUAAAUCUGAGACUGGCCCUGAUAAUCUGCAUUUCUAACAAGCUCCUAGGUGAGGCAGA
rnacentral:pre_miRNA from 1 species